UACGAAGGGGGCUAGCGUUGUUCGGAAUUACUGGGCGUAAAGGGCGCGUAGGCGGCGUGUCAAGUCAGGCGUGAAAGCCCCGGGCUCAACCUGGGAACCGCGCUUGAGACUGGCAGGCUUGAGUGCAGGAGAGGAACGCGGAAUUCCAGGUGUAGCGGUGAAAUGCGUAGAGAUCAGCAGGAAUACCCGUGGACGAAGGCGGCCCCCUGGGCCGAACCUGACGCUGAGGCGCGAAGGCUAGGGGAGCGAACGGG
rnacentral:rRNA from 1 species